AAUAGAUACCCCGGUAGUCCACGCCGUAAACGAUGUCGACUUGGAGGUUGUUCCCUUGAGGAGUGGCUUCCGGAGCUAACGCAUUAAGUCGACCGCCUGGGGAGUACGGCCGCAAGGUUAAAACUCAAAUGAAUUGACGGGGGCCCGCACAAGCGGUGGAGCAUGUGGUUUAAUUCGAUGCAACGCGAAGAACCUUACCUACUCUUGACAUCCACGGAACUUUUCAGAGAUGAAUUGGUGCCUUCGGGAACCGUGAGACAGGUGCUGCAUGGCUGUCGUCAGCUCGUGUUGUGAAAUGUUGGGUUAAGUCCCGCAACGAGCGCAACCCUUAUCCUUUGUUGCCAGCGGUUAGGCCGGGAACUCAAAGGAGACUGCCAGUGAUAAACUGGAGGAAGGUGGGGAUGACGUCAAGUCAUCAUGGCCCUUACGAGUAGGGCUACACACGUGCUACAAUGGCGCAUACAAAGAGAAGCGACCUCGCGAGAGCAAGCGGACCUCAUAAAGUGCGUCGUAGUCCGGAUUGGAGU
rnacentral:rRNA from 1 species